rnacentral:rRNA from 1 species
GUUAAAUGGGAGAGGUAUCACUAAGCUGAAUAAAAUAGGCUUUGGUGAAGCGAACCCGGAGAACUGAAACAUCUCAGUACCCGGAGGAAAAGACAUCAACCGAGAUUCCGUUAGUAGUGGCGAGCGAACGCGGACCAGGCCAGCGCCGACUUCUUAAUUAGCAGAAGCUUCUGGAAAGUAGCGCCAUAGCGGGUGACAGCCCCGUAUGCGAAAAUGAAGAUGUCGGACUUGAGUAGGGCGGAGCACGUGAAACUCUGUCUGAACAUGGGGGGACCACCCUCCAAGCCUAAAUACUCGUACAUGACCGAUAGCGAACCAGUACCGUGAGGGAAAGGUGAAAAGCACCCCGAUGAGGGGAGUGAAACAGUACCUGAAACCGGAUGCCUACAAGCAGUUGGAGGGCUCUUGAAGCCUGACAGCGUACCUCUUGCAUAAUGGGUCUGUGACUUAGUGUAUCAUGCAAGCUUAAGCCGUUAGGUGUAGGCGCAGCGAAAGCGAGUCUGAAUAGGGCGACUGAGUAUGAUGCAUUAGACCCGAAACCCGGCGAUCUAGGCAUGACCAGGCUGAAGGUGCGGUAACACGCACUGGAGGGCCGAACCGUUUAAUGUUGAAAAAUUAUCGGAUGAGUUGUGUUUAGGGGUGAAAGGCCAAUCAAGCCGGGAAAUAGCUGGUUCUCCGCGAAAUCUAUUGAGGUAGAGCGUCGGAUGAUUGCCGUUGGGGGUAGAGCACUGGAUGGUUGCGGGGGUCGCGAGAUCUACCAAUACUAACCAAACUCCGAAUACCAACGAGUCUAGUCCGGCAGACAGACGGCGGGUGCUAAGGUCCGUCGUCAAAAGGGAAACAGCCCUAACCUACAGCUAAGGUCCCCAAGUCACGUCUAAGUGGGAAAGCAUGUGGGAUUUCCAAAACAACCAGGAGGUUGGCUUAGAAGCAGCCAUCCUUUAAAGAAAGCGUAACAGCUCACUGGUCUAAACAAGAGAUCCUGCGGCGAAGAUGUAACGGGGCUCAAGACGUGCACCGAAGCUUAGGGUUCAGUCUUUUGACUGAGCGGUAGCGGAGCGUUCCGUAGGCCGUUGAAGCGGGAGGGUAACCGACCGUGGAGGUAUCGGAAGUGCGAAUGCAGACAUGAGUAGCGAUUAAGAGGGUGAGAUGCCCUCUCGCCGAAAUUCCAAGGGUUCCUGCUUAAAGCUAAUCUGAGCAGGGUAAGCCGGCCCCUAAGACGAGCCCGAAGGGGGUAGUCGAUGGGAACCACGUUAAUAUUCGUGGGCCUGGAGGUGUGUGACGGAUGGUGCAACUUGUCUGGCCUUAUUGGAUUGGUCCAGGCAGGGAAACUGUCCCAGGAAAUAGCCCCUCCGUAUAGACCGUACCCUAAACCGACACAGGUGGAAUGGUAGAGUAUACCAAGGCGUUUGAGAGAAGUAUCCUGAAGGAACUCGGCAAAUUGCCUCCGUACCUUCGGAAGAAGGAGGCCCCAUCUAAGCGCAAGCUCUGAUGGGGGGCACAGGCCAGGGGGUAGCGACUGUUUAGCAAAAACACAGGGCUCUGCUAAGUCGGCUUCAAGACGACGUAUAGGGCCUGACGCCUGCCCGGUGCCUGAAGGUUAAGAGGAGGAGUGCAAGCUCUGAAUUGAAGCCCAGGUAAACGGCGGCCGUAACUAUAACGGUCCUAAGGUAGCGAAAUUCCUUGUCGGGUAAGUUCCGACCUGCACGAAUGGCGUAACGACUUCCCCACUGUCUCCAGGAUAUGCUCAGCGAAAUUGAAUUCUCCGUGAAGAUGCGGAGUACCCGCGGUUAGACGGAAAGACCCCGUGCACCUUUACUGCAGCUUCAGAGUGGCAUUAGGAAAGAACUGUGUAGCAUAGGUGGGAGGCUUUGAAGC